rnacentral:rRNA from 1 species
CCUACGGGAGGCAGCAGUGGGGAAUAUUGCACAAUGGGGGAAACCCUGAUGCAGCGACGCCGCGUGAGUGAGGAAGUAUUUCGGUAUGUAAAGCUCUAUCAGCAGGGAAGAAAAUGACGGUACCUGAUUAAGAAGCCCCGGCUAACUACGUGCCAGCAGCCGCGGUACUACGUAGGGGGCAAGCGUUCUCCGGAUUUACUGGGUGUAAAGUGAGCGUAGACGGCUGAGCAAGUCAGAAGUGAAAUCCCAGGGCUCAACCUUGGAACUGCUUUUGAAACUGAGUAGCUAGAGUGCAGGAGAGGUAAGCGGAAUUCCUAGUGUAGCGGUGAAAUGCGUAGAUAUUAGGAGGAACACCAGUGGCGAAGGCGGCUUACUGGACUGUAACUGACGUUGAGGCUCGAAAGCGUGGGGAGCAAACAGGAUUAGAUACCCGAGUAGUC